rnacentral:rRNA from 1 species
GAGUGGCAGACGGGUGAGUAACACGUGGGAACGUACCCUUUGGUUCGGGACAACUCUGGGAAACUGGAGCUAAUACCGGAUACGCCCUUUUGGGGAAAGGUUUACUGCCGAAGGAUCGGCCCGCGUCUGAUUAGCUAGUUGGUGGGGUAACGGCCUACCAAGGCGACGAUCAGUAGCUGGUCUGAGAGGAUGAUCAGCCACACUGGGACUGAGACACGGCCCAGACUCCUACGGGAGGCAGCAGUGGGGAAUAUUGGACAAUGGGCGCAAGCCUGAUCCAGCCAUGCCGCGUGAGUGAUGAAGGCCUUAGGUUGUAAAGCUCUUUUAUCCGGGACGAUAAUGACGUACCGAGGAAUAAGCCCCGGCUAACUUCGUGCCAGCACCGCGGUAAUACCAAGGGGGCUAGCGUUGCUCCGAAUCACUGGGCGUAAAGGGCGCGUAGGCGGCGUUUUAAGUCCGGGGUGAAAGCCUGUGGCUCAACCACAAAAUGGCCUUCCAUACUGGGACGCUUGAGUCUGGUAGAAGUUGGUGGAACUGCGAGUGUA